CCGGAGCUGGGGGCGGGCCGGGUGGCGGGGGAGCGUUUUUUGCGUGGCGCAGCUCCCCGCCCCGCGGAGCGCCGGUGGUCUCGGGGCCGGACCCCACGCGCGCCCGCGCCCGCGCCCGCGCCCCGCUGCCUGAGGGCCCCUCUGCGUGUUCACAGCGGACCUUGAUUUAAUGUCCAUACAAUUAAGGCACGCGGUGAAUGCCAAGAGAGGCGCCUCCGCCGCUCCUUUCUCAUGGAAAUGGCCCGCGCGCCCCGCCCGGGAGGAAGGCGAGCCCGGCCCCCGGCGGCCCCUCGCGCCGCGGACAAAUCCGGGGAACAAUGCGCCCGCGCAGAGGGCGGCCCAGCUGCCGGGCCGGGACCAGGCCGCGGGACACAAAGGGGCCGCUCGCCCCGGGCGCCGCAGGGCGGGAGGGGGCGCGGCCGCGGGGCUGCGCCCACCCCGCCUCGCCGGCCACGUGCGUCCGCAGCUCGGGGCACCGCGAGGUCCGCGGCGGGCGGCGGGGCGAGCCGGGCCGGGAGACAAAGAGAGGGGCGGGGGCGGGGGCAGCGCCGGCGGGGCUGUCGGGGCGGGCGCGCGGGGAGGCCGGCGGCUCGGGGCCCGGGCGCUGUCCGCGGUGCUGGCGGGGCGCGGGCCCCCGCGGGGCAGGAGCCACGGGCGCGGGGCCAAGCGCGUCCCGAAGGCCGCUCGCCCCGACCGCGGGCGCUCCGGGCAGUUGCCGUGGCAACGAGGGAGGGAGCGGGCUGGGGUCUGAGGUCACUGCGAAGUCUGUCCCUCCUCGGGCCGCUCCGCCCCGGGCUGGGGUGCCCUCCCCGAGCUCCUGGCACGGCCUCCCUGCCCCUGCCCGGAGGAGGUGACUCCAAAAGGGAUGCGGGGGACGGGGAGGACGCGUCUACACCUGCGUGCAGGCCCUGGACCGGGACAGGAGCCAGCGCCACCUGCUGGUGCCCUGGCAAGCGAUCUGUGUGGGCUCCUCCUGCCUCCCUUCAGCCGCGGGGCUCCCCCAUCCCCGCCUGCACCCCGGUCACUCAGCUGCCUCCGCCCCGGGCCGUGCGGAGCCACGACAGGCGUCCCUUCCGCUCUGCAAGGCCCCAGCCUGGGUUUGCAGCUGGGCAGGCAGGCUUUCCUCUUACAGCCUGGGCAGGGGCUUUGGUCCCCCCACGUGUUCCCUAG
rnacentral:lncRNA from 12 species